rnacentral:rRNA from 1 species
AGAGUUUGAUCAUGGCUCAGGACGAACGCUGGCGGCGUGCUUAACACAUGCAAGUCAAGGGGGCCCAGCAAUGGGCAACCGGCGAACGGGUGCGUAACACGUGAGCAACCUACCGAACUGUGGGGGAUAGCCGGCCUAACGGCCGAGUAAUACCGCAUACGCUUUCAGUGAGGCAUUUCAUUGAAAGGAAACCUACGGGACAGAUCGAGGGGCUCGCGGCCUAUCAGCUAGUUGGCGAGGUAACGGCUCACCAAGGCAACGACGGGUAGCUGGUCUGAGAGGAUGGCCAGCCACAUUGGGACUGAGAUACGGCCCAGACUCCUACGGGAGGCAGCAGUGGGGAAUCUUGCGCAAUGGCCUAACGGCUGACGCAGCGACGCCGCGUGUGGGAUGAAGCUCUUCGGAGUGUAAACCACUGUUGCCCGGGACGAACAGCUCGAUUAAUCGAGCCUGACGGUACCGGGUGAGGAAGCACCGGCUAACUCCGUGCCAGCAGCCGCGGUAAUACGGGGGGUGCGAGCGUUGUCCGGAAUCACUGGGCGUAAAGGGCGCGUAGGUGGUCUGAUAAGGGUGUGGUGAAAGUCCGGGGCUCAACCCCGGAUCUGCCGUGCCGACUGUCAGACUCGAGGACUGUAGAGGCAGACGGAAUUCCGGGUGUAGCGGUGGAAUGCGUAGAGAUCCGGAGGAAGACCGGUGGCGAAGGCGGUCUGCUGGGCAGUUUCUGACACUGAGGCGCGACAGCGUGGGGAGCAAACAGGAUUAGAUACCCUAGUAGUCC